ensembl:lncRNA uncharacterized LOC110086903
AUGGGGCGGUUCCGAUUCCUUUGGUGGCGACUGCUGUGGGCUGUCCUCGGCAUCCUGCUGGGAUCCCCAGUCCAAAGUGUCCAAGACACUUAUGAAAAUGUUAAACAAUUGCAGGUAUCUGUGCUUCCAACUGCAACUGUACAGAUUUCACCAGAGGAAACAGACAACCUUCAGGAUCAGAAAACAAAGGAAGAAGAGAAGACUUUGAAUGAUCUUGUGGGCCUUUUGCAAGACAUGGUAAAAAAUAUUCCGACAGAGCAAACACAAUCCCAACUACCAACUGAGUUAGCAACUAUCAUGGAAUCCAAUGUGGAACCUUCUCCAUCUGUAACAGCUGAUACUGACUUGAUGAAUUUAAAAUCAAAGAAUAAUGGAAUGCAAACAGAGGGAUCACAAACAGUUGCCUUGACCAAUGGAAUUACCACACCUACAACAGCAUUUUGGAAACCCAGAAGUGAUGCAAGUGCAUCUAUCAUUCUGCAGUCUGCAAUAACUGCUUCUGAAAAAACUACACCAGAAAAUCUCCGAAGUGAAACAAGUGCUUCUGUUUUAUAUUCUGAUACUACUACUUCAGAAAAACCAUUGGUCAGUGUAUCAUUUCUACUUGAAAAUACUACCACAGGUGGAAAAAGUUUUGAUCAGCUAACAAAUGGAGCUUUGUCAAGUCUGGUGGAAUCCCUAAAGAAUGUUCAAAAAUUACAUGAGACAUUACAUACAUCCACUGAUAACCCACAGCAGAAAAAUAAUAAAGAAAAAAAUCUGGACAUAAAUCUACAUAAACCUAUAGGUGCAGACAUCUUAGACUUGAUUGAUGCACUAAUCAAAACAAUAAAGAAUGCACCUUCUGCUGUUAAAAAUGAUCCCGCUCUCCAUAACUAUAUUGAAAAAGCAGAAAGCUUCCUAAAAGAUGCUUUGGAACUUGCAGGAGAAGCAGAAAAGAAGCUCAGGCAGGCAAAGGAGCAGGGACAGGUGAAGAAGGUAGAGCUGAAGAUUAACCCUUCACCAUCAGCAACUCUGCUGGUAUCAGAGGUGACAUCGUCUCCUCCUCUAGCAAAAAAGGUGGAAGAUAUUCAAAUGGAAAUGGGAAAGUUAAAAGCAUUUAUUAACUUACUGUAUGGUUUUAGUCCCCAUUUUGCUAGAUAUGCAGAGAACUCACCCAAUAAAAAAGUAGUUGAGGAUAUUGCUGAUAGAGCAAUGGCAGUACUCAAUGCUAUAAAGAGUAUUUUCUGUGGAAAUCCAGAUGGGCGAAGCAAACAGAUAUUGAAGCAGUUGUUAAAGGAAGACAUGGAGCUUGUGAAGCAAGCCAUGAAAGAAAAAAAGAGUGUCUUAAGAAAACACACUUAUUUCUUGAUAGUGUAGACAUUUUUCAUCAGCGUUAUGUAUUAUUAAAGUUCCACUUCCUCUUUUGUAACAGCCAGCUAAAUAUACCUGUAGUCAUUUACAAGUGUGGAAUUAAAUGCUUAUUUGUAAAUAAUUUUGUUCUCAUUUUUCACUCUUGUUGGAAUUCAUCUGCAAGUUAUAUUACAGUGGCUGCAAUAUAAGAGUAAGUUGCAACUAGAGUAGAGCCAUUGAAUCAGGAUUUGGUGAGUCAGCUCCUUUGAAAGUUGUUGAUUCAAUGGGCCUACUCUAGCUGCAACUUACUACUGGAUUUCAGCUAGUGAGUGUGAGUAUACACCAGCCAUUUAAGAUACAAUAUGAAAUAUUUUAAAAAAGAGUCCUGAGUUAACAUAAGGUUAUUACAGUAUGAUUAUCAAAAAUAAAAAAUUAGUUAGUCCUUGGGCUACUCUCA